CUUUGUUGUUGUGCAUGCAUUAUGAUGUAAUUAGUGUCAUAUAAAUAUUUUAAAGUUAGUCAGAUGAUGAGUUGUUGUCCUUAGUUCCCGAUUGUAGUUAUGUAUAAAGUGUAUAACACACUGGAACUGUUCCACUAGCUUGGAAUGCUGCUGGUACUCUUCAUCACUGUGUGUUAUGUAAUGCUGUUUUUUUUUUUUUGAAUGUUGCAGCACAGAAAUGUUUCAUCUCUUAAAGGGACAGUACUGUCUUCAUGUCCUCACAAUAAUUUUGUCAAAAACUAUCACAAUUUACUUUCCAACUGUAAUAAAGUAGAGACGUUGUAAGUUAUUUGAUUUUGAUUUAAUUUGAGAUGGCAAAAUGUUGACCUUCGUCUAUAUUCCUACAGGUUCUAUGCUGUUGGUAGGCAGUACGGUCCAUGGUGAUUUUUUUUAACGACACCCUGAAUACCUGCGAUUACAGAAAAAUUUUACCUGCCAAGCACUUCCUUUAUAAAAGUCUUCAUACACAGUGUAGUAUUUAUUAGUAUUUAGUAGUUUAUUGGAUACGGCUGGAUUUAACAAUUUCCCAUUCAGUAUGAAGAGGCAUGAAUCACUUAGAAACUUUUACAUUCCAACUUAAUAAUAAUUUAAGAAGUGUACUACAUCUCAAAAUCGUGAUUGAUAUUUUUUAAUGUUUUGGAUUUUUUAUGCACUAUAAAGCACUUCUUGAGCAAGGCAUUGCAAUUUUCUUGAGAUCAUACCAUCUGGGUAUAUGAACGUGUGAAAGUCCCCUGUGUCCACAUAUAAUCAGGAAGGUUGCAAGUUUGUGGUUAAAAAAAACCCCUCUGCAAUACAUGGAAAUAAAGAUGCACAGGCCAUGCUAAUAUAUAUUUUAAGUUUUAUUAUUAUGUGCUGUGUUGGAUAAUUUACUAUUUUACAAUAAUAAAGCUGCACUUAUUGUAUGCUCAUUUAUUUAAUUCAGUAACUUUGUGAGAUCUUAAACAUUCACAUCUUGAACAUUCAGGUUUCCUGUGGAAGAGAUGGUUUUUAGUUCACUCUGAGUCAAAAGGAAGCAUUUACACUUUGCUUUUCUUUUUAUCAAGCUAUCAUCAUCAUCAUCAUCAUCAUCAUCAUCGCCACCAUCACUAUUAGAAGUCAUGUCCUCUCAUUCGCUCCUGAUGAUUCUGCUAGUUCUCACCUGCCUUCAGUCCAUCACAACAGCCAGCAAUGUACAUGAACCAGAAGAAUGCUGUUUCAAAUUCCAAAGGAAGAGAGUCCCUGUAAGGCUCAUUACAGGGUAUAAAGUAACUGGAGCUGACUGUCCAAAAGCUGGGAUCAUUUUUAACCUGAGGGAUGGACAUCGGUAUUGUAUAGAACGCAGAGGUGUAUGGUUGCAGAGACAAAUGGAUAUAAUUGACGAUUACCUUUAUGAAAGCCUGAACUAACCUCGACUUUGAGCGAUCAUAGCCUCUCUCUAUUAGUACAAAAUUAGUACAAGCUGUACUUUUUAAUGUAUCAUUUUCUGGAUUUUUUUGUUUUUGUUUUGUGUGUGUGUGUGCUUGUAUAAUCUUAAAAUUAAGCUAAAAUAAUUUAGUUCAUUUAACCUACUGUAGGACGAAGUUUUUUAAAAGACAUUUUUAUUUACACAUUAUGUCUUCAAAGUCACAUGUUCACAAAUAAAUAAUCCUUGUUAUGGUGAAAUACAUGUAAUUGUUUAUACCACAUCUUAAUCAGUUAUAUGACAGUUAUCUUAAUAAAUGUAUAAAUAAAUUA